UGAGGAAUAUUGGACAAUGGGCGCAAGCCUGAUCCAGCCAUGCCGCGUGCAGGAUGACGGUCCUAUGGAUUGUAAACUGCUUUUAUACGAGAAGAAACAACUCUACGUGUAGAGUCUUGACGGUAUCGUAAGAAUAAGGAUCGGCUAACUCCGUGCCAGCAGCCGCGGUAAUACGGAGGAUCCAAGCGUUAUCCGGAAUCAUUGGGUUUAAAGGGUCCGUAGGCGGUCAGAUAAGUCAGUGGUGAAAUCCCAUCGCUCAACGGUGGAACGGCCAUUGAUACUGUCUGACUUGAAUUAUUAGGAAGUAACUAGAAUAUGUAGUGUAGCGGUGAAAUGCUUAGAGAUUACAUGGAAUACCAAUUGCGAAGGCAGGUUACUACUAAUGGAUUGACGCUGAUGGACGAAAGCGUGGGUAGCGAACA
rnacentral:rRNA from 1 species